GAAAAUUACUGUAGAGAAGCCGGUGUUCGGAAUCUGCAGAAGCAAAUUGAAAAGAUUUAUCGCAAGAUAGCUCUAAAGCUUGUUAGGAAGGAUGGCAAGAUUGAGCCCCAGAAUGCAGGGGUAGAUGAGGUAAAAGCAGAACAUGUCCAUAUAUCAGACGAAAUAAAGUUCAAGGAAGAAACUCAGGCUGGAGCUAAGUCUGUAGAGGGUAGCCAUGAUGACAAGCCCUCUGAAUAUGUUGCUGAAGCUCUGGAAGCACCAGUAAACCAAAUGCAGAAGUCCACUGAUGAAGAUACUCAUUUACAGGAAGUUGAGGAAGUUACAGAAAGUGAAGCAAGUAAAAUAAUAGAAAAAGUGGUUGUGGACUCAUCAAACCUAGCUGAUUAUGUUGGCAAACCUAUUUUCCAUGGUGAGCGCAUAUAUGAUCAGACCCCUGUUGGAGUUGUGAUGGGUCUUGCUUGGACUUCAAUGGGUGGCUCAACACUCUAUAUAGAAACGUCUUUGGUGGAGCAAGGAGAAGGAAAAGGGCUUCUCAAUGUAACGGGACAACUAG
rnacentral:misc_RNA from 1 species